UGGCUCAGUUGCUAGAGCAUGGUGUUUGCAACGCCAGGGUUGUGGGUUCAAUUCCCAC
rnacentral:tRNA from 1 species